rnacentral:tRNA from 1 species
AAUAAAAUGGCUGAAGAAAUAAGCGAUAAAUUGUAAAUUUAUUUAUGAGAUUUAAAUUCUCUUUUAUUA